AAGACAGCGGGAGAGUUGUACGGUAGUUUCCCUCCCCUGAACGAUAACUAAGAGGUAGGUGAGAAGCCUGACCACGGAGAGGAGGGGUGAGAAGGUGAUGAAGCAGUACUUCGUGAGCUGUCACCGAUGAAAACCGGCAUUUGGAAAGUUUGAAGAGGAGGAGGGAUGGAGGUAGGGACUCCUCUACGACCUCUCAGCCUACCUCGCCUGGAGAGUCUCUACAUUGGAACAGGAACAGGGGAUGUAGAGAGGUGUGUGUAUCCCAUCUUCGCUGGCUCCAGUCUCUCCCCCACCAGCCUGCUGUC